GAUUAUAUUCUUUUCUUUGGAGACUUCAUACCUGAUUUAUUUAUUUAUUUAUUUAUUUAUUUUUACCUCCCCUUUGGGUUUUUUUGUUUGCUUUUGAAGAACUCUCUCUGCUGGGUAAGCCUCUUUGGAGCAGGCUUUGGGGGCAGUCAAGGAGUCUCAGUUCGGACCCUGCAGCUGCGGUGGCGGCACAGAGCAGCAAGGUGCCAACCAGCCACUUUCACCCUAUUGAUAAAACUCCUAGCCAGGCUGGCUCAUCCUGGGAGUGACUGCCCCGAAGCCAUGCUGGUAUUGCGGGUUUAUUUUUCGGUUAUAAAGAAUUUUCUUCGAUAAUGCAGAGGGAAUAACAGAGGGAGUAUAAGCCUCCCAGGGUGGAAGGACAGUUUUUUCUCUACCUCUUUUCUAGCAGUAGGAAAUCUCUUUGGCUUCYAUGAGUGAUGACCUGGAAUGGAUGGCUAUAAUUCCCUUUUUUAAAAAUGUGCUGGUAACUUAAAGAGUCCUAGUUAUGCUUAUUGAAGCAUGUGGAAUUACAGGCAAGGCCUGUCUAAGGCUCGGGCUGCGUGUGUAAGGUUCUAACUGCUUGCAGAGAUUAAAUUAUUUAAUGCACAAAGUUAAUGUUCUUCCCUCAAGUCUAAAGAUGUAAAAGAGUUUUGCAGAGUUUAAUCUUUGAUUUUUUUUUUCCCCCCAGCUUUACAUAGCUUGAAGUGCUUGAAUCAAAUUAGCAAUUAAAUACAUGAAGUAAUGUAUUGAAGAGAGACCGUUCAGUUUAUUAGUUGAAAGAACUUGCAGCAUACGUCUUUGUCUAAAACAAAUGGAGCUGAAACCUUUCAAAAGCAUUCAUAAAAGUGUGCUAUUUUCUUCCUUUCUAAGCAUAAAUCAGGGUAAUUUUUCCUGACAAACCUCUCCCUUUUGGCCCUCUGCUCCAUAACCUGCUUUUCACCCUCUUCCUGCGCCCAUUACGGAAUCAUCUCCCAACCCGCAGCCAGCAGCCGUUGUUCAGCGGAGUUGCCCACGUGUGUCGACGGGGCCAUAACUUGGUUGGUUAAACCAGUAACGGCGCUGCAUGAUAGUUAAAAAUUCAGUAAGACUGCUGAAUACCACAAACUCGAGCUUCCGCAGAGACUUUUUUGGAGAGUAACUUUUCAAUGAAGAACUGUGCUUUGGAAAAUAAACGUGCUGCAUAACGUACUGCUGGAAUCUAA
rnacentral:lncRNA from 1 species